CCUACGGGUGGCAGCAGUGGGGAAUAUUGGACAAUGGGGGGAACCCUGAUCCAGCCAUGCCGCGUGUGUGAAGAAGGCCCUCGGGUUGUAAAGCACUUUCAGUGAGGAAGAACGCCUGGUGGUUAAUACCCAUCAGGAAAGACAUCACUCACAGAAGAAGCACCGGCUAACUCCGUGCCAGCAGCCGCGGUAAUACGGAGGGUGCGAGCGUUAAUCGGAAUUACUGGGCGUAAAGCGCGCGUAGGUGGCUUGAUAAGCCGGUUGUGAAAGCCCCGGGCUCAACCUGGGAACGGCAUCCGGAACUGUCAAGCUAGAGUGCAGGAGAGGAAGGUAGAAUUCCCGGUGUAGCGGUGAAAUGCGUAGAGAUCGGGAGGAAUACCAGUGGCGAAGGCGGCCUUCUGAACUGACACUGACACUGAGGUGCGAAAGCGUGGGUAGCAAACAGGAUUAGAUACCCCUGUAGUC
rnacentral:rRNA from 1 species